GGGGGACUACGUGCAGAUGAGAGAAAGGGAAAUAAAUUACCAACACAUCAUGAGGGCUGCAAAUGUGUCUGUGGUGGUGGGGUGCACAUGAAAGAUUGUGGGGGUCAUGUGUUGCUGUGACUUCAUAACAAUGCAGGGUGUUGGUUUGCUUUCUGAUGUGAUGGACAUAACAUGGCUAAGUUCCCUCUUACUAGGGGUUGGUUGUUUUGCUUUGGGAUACCUCAUCAGUGUACGGCAUCUUGCUCACAUAUUUGUUUCGGGUAGAGUAGCUAAAGACAGCUCAGUUGUGGAUGGAAACAAGAAGAAUCAGCCCAAAGAACCUCUUGAGAUUGAAAUGCUGGCAGACAUUCUUGAUGAUUUCAAAAUGGUUUUGGUUGUGAGGAAUGACUUGAAGAUGGGGAAAGGAAAGAUUGCUGUGCAAUGCAGUCAUGCAACUUUGGGUCUCUAUAACAAGCUCCUUCACUGGGCACCCAAAGCUUUGAACAGGUGGGAGAUGUGUGGGCAGGUUAAGGUGGUUGUGAAAAUUGAAAAUGAGGAAGAUUUGCUAGUUUUACAAGAAAGGGCAAAAGCACUGAACUUACCGACACAUAUUGAUGAUGGGCGAACACAAAUAGCACCAAGUUUUGUGGAUGUUGGAACUUGCCUAGAGCCAUUGUUGUACUCUUUUUAAGAGCCAUUGUUGUACUCUUUAUAUUGAUUGAUGAAUGCGGAGUUGGAUUUAUGUUUAAAUCGAUUCCAAAAUGAUGCGAGUAUGGUUGCAAAAAAAAUCUGAGUACAUGCUUUCAGAAGAAGUAGUCUAAAGAUUCAAGGACAGUAAUGGCUAUCCUUGGACCUGCUGACAUGGUUGAUGAGGUAACAGGUGGACUGAAGCUUUUGUAGUGACUGCUACAUUUCGGAGGUUAUAUAUAUAUAUCUUACUGCAAUGAGCAUUUGGUGGUAGAGUUCCGGGAUCUCAACAUUCUGGCUAUAGCAUUACGAAAUCUACUCUCUUGAUAGGAAAAUGGACACUGGAUUACUGUGUUUUUGCUAUCAUUUGUGAUGAUGAUGAUAAGUUUUUGUUAUGAACGCAUCCUCAGUUACGAAAUCUAGUCUCUUUAUAGGAAAAUGGACACUGGAUUACUGUCUUUUUGCUUUCAUUUGUGAUCAUGAUGAUAAGUUUUUGUUAUGAACUCA